rnacentral:lncRNA from 1 species
AAUAGAAGACUAACAACUAUUUUGACCGACAACAUUUUGCGAUUAUUCAUACCCAUGUUAAUGGAGUGUAGGUUUGGAAUUGGAGGCACUAGGAAUGGCACCUUUACAAUGGAGGCCGCUGGACUAGCAUCCCGAGAAGUGGCGCGCAUACAUCACCUUCCCGCGGUCAGCUGCGCCUGCAAUGGUCAUGGGCGUCGCAACCAAGUUGAUACGGAGACGUUGGACGCAUCGCAUCUGAGUAUCUCUGCGACGCAUGCACUCGAUUCGUCCUUGAGCCUAGUUGCGUCGCUUCGGGGUACAUGCUGUUUGGCCGAGUGAGGGUGAGGACGUUGCGUACCCCUCUACGUACGCUCACAAACAUAGUACGAUGCAGCUAGCUGCAGGGGUAAAACAGUGCCAUGGUCUGCCCAGCUUAGAAUGAAAAAAUGCAAAGUACGAGUCUGACUGGGCUAUUUUCAGAAUGUUCUGGUUGGUGUUCGCACACAAACACAUCAACGUGCACCUUCGAUGCCGGGUAUGAUGUAAACGCGGUACACAAGUAAUAUGUAUCGUUGUCGUACUAGAUAGAUCACGGAN